AUGGCUGUUGAUGGUGGGCAUGGUGGUGGGAAUCACCCAUUGCGUUGGACAUCUCCAAUGUCUGGGUUCAUGUUACGUCGGUUUGUAGAGCUCAUUGCUGGUGGAGUGAAGACGGAGAAGGGUUUUAAGGAGGUGCACCUAAACCAGGUGGCUAAGAAUUGUAGUGAGCAUUUUGGUCUUUCCAUAAUAGGGACCCAAGUGUACAACCACCUCCGCAAGUGGCGUGCUAGGUGGGUGAAGCUAAGUAAGCUCUGA
rnacentral:rRNA from 1 species